rnacentral:misc_RNA from 1 species
AGGGUAUUACGAGCCCCAGCUUAAAACCCAAAGGACUUGACGGUGUCCCAUCCAACUAGAGGAGCCUGUUCUAUAAUCGACAAUCCCCGAUACACCUAACCUCAUUUCGCAAAUCAGCCUGUAUACCUCCGUCGCAAGCUUACCAUAUGAAUGUUUAUAGUAAGUUUAAUGGUUAUACACCAACACGUCAGGUCAAGGUGCAGCUCAUGAUGAGGUAAGCAAUGGGCUACAAUUUCUAAUAUAGAAUACACAGAAUGCUGCAUGAAACACAGACAUAAAGGCGGAUUUAGUAGUAAAAGUGAAAUAGAGUGCCCCUUUUAAUAAGGCCCUGGGACGUGUACACACCGCCCGUCACCCUCUUCAACAGUAUAAAAAUGUUUUUUACAACCCAUCACAACCCAGAAGAGGCAAGUCGUAACAUGGUAAGUGUACCGGAAGGUGCACUUGGAUAAUCAAGACAUAGCUUAAACAAAGCCUCUUGCUUACACCGAGAAAAUAUCUGUAAAAAUCAAAUUGUCUUGAACUAAAAAUUAAGCCUAAUCUUAACUUAUGUUACCUAACCUGCAAUAAACCUUAAUAAAACAUUUUAUCAGUUUAGUAAAGGCGAUUAAAAGACUUUUUAGCGCUUUACCACAAGUACCGCAAGGGAAAAAUGAAAUAGCUUUGAAAUA